AUUGAACGCUGGCGGCAGGCCUAACACAUGCAAGUCGAGCGAGUGGCGGACGGGUGAGUAAUGUCUGGGAAACUGCCUGAUGGAGGGGGAUAACUACUGGAAACGGUAGCUAAUACCGCAUACCAUCAGAUGUGCCCAGAUGGGAUUAGCUAGUGGGUGGGGUAAUGGCUCACCUAGGCGACGAUCCCUAGCUGGUCUGAGAGGAGGACCAGCCAAACUGGAACGGAGACACGGUCCAGACUCCUACGGGAGGCAGCAGUGGGGAAUAUUGCACAAUGGGCGCAAGCCUGAUGCAGCCAUGCCGCGUGUGUGAAGAAGGCCUUCGGGUUGUAAAGUACUUUCAGCGAGGAGGCGUUACCCGCAGAAGAAGCACCGGCUAACUCCGUGCCAGCAGCCGCGGUAAUUC
rnacentral:rRNA from 1 species